AACGAACGCUGGCGGCAUGCCUAACACAUGCAAGUCGAAUGAGACCUUCGGGUCUAGGGGCGCACGGGUCAGUAACGCGUGGGAACCUGCCCUUAAGUUCGGAAUAACUCCCCGAAAGGGGUGCCAAUACCGGAUAAUGUCUUCGGACCAACGAUUUAUCGCCUGUGGCUGGGCCCGCGCUGGAUUAGCUAGUUGGGAGGGUAACAGCCUACCAAGGCGACGUUCCAUAGCUGGUCUGAGAGGAUGAUCAGCCACACUGGGACUGAGACACGGCCCAGACUCCUACGGGAGGCAGCAGUGGGGAAUAUUGGACAAUGGGAGAAAGCCUGAUCCAGCAAUGCCGCGUGAGUGAUGAAGGCCUUAGGGUUGUAAAGCUCUUUUACCCGUGAUGAUAAUGACAGUACCGGGAGAAUAAGCUCGGGCUAACUCCGUG
rnacentral:rRNA from 1 species